rnacentral:rRNA from 1 species
AACGAACGCUGGCGGCAGGCCUAACACAUGCAAGUCGAGCGCCCCGCAAGGGGAGCGGCGGACGGGUGAGUAACGCGUGGGAACGUACCCUUUGCUACGGAAUAGCCUCGGGAAACUGGGAGUAAUACCGUAUGUGUCCUUCGGGAGAAAGAUUUAUCGGCAAGGGAUCGGCCCGCGUUGGAUUAGGUAGUUGGUGGGGUAAUGGCCUACCAAGCCGACGAUCCAUAGCUGGUUUGAGAGGAUGAUCAGCCACACUGGGACUGAGACACGGCCCAGACUCCUACGGGAGGCAGCAGUGGGGAAUCUUAGAAAAUGGGCGCAAGCCUGAUCUAGCCAUGCCGCGUGAGCGAUGAAGGCCUUAGGGUUGUAAAGCUCUUUCAGGGGGGAAGAUAAUGACUGUACCCCAAGAAGAAGCCCCGGCUAACUCCGUG